GAACCUGAAACCCUGUACGUACAAGCAGUAGGAGCGAGGGCAACCUUGUGACUGCGUACCUUUUGUAUAAUGGGUCAGCGACUUAUAUUUUGUAGCGAGGUUAACUGAAUAAGGGAGCCGAAGGGAAACCGAGUCUUAACUGGGCGUUGAGUUGCAAGGUAUAGACCCGAAACCCGGUGAUCUAGCCAUGGGCAGGUUGAAGGUUGGGUAACACUAACUGGAGGACCGAACCGACUAAUGUUGAAAAAUUAGCGGAUGACUUGUGGCUGGGGGUGAAAGGCCAAUCAAACCGGGAGAUAGCUGGUUCUCCCCGAAAUCUAUUUAGGUAGAGCCUUGAGCGGACACCUUCGGGGGUAGAGCACUGUUUCGGCUAGGGGUCCAUCCCGGAUUACCAACCCGAUGCAAACUGCGAAUACCGAAGAGUGAUACUCAGGAGACACACGGCGGGUGCUAACGUUCGUCGUGGAGAGGGAAACAACCCAGACCGCCAGCUAAGGUCCCAAAGUCUAUAUUAAGUGGGAAACGAAGUGGGAAGGCUUAGACAGCUAGGAUGUUGGCUUAGAAGCAGCCAUCAUUUAAAGAAAGCGUAAUAGCUCACUAGUCGAGUCGGCCUGCGCGGAAGAUGUAACGGGGCUCAAAUAUAGCACCGAAGCUGCGGCAUCAGAAUUUAUUCUGUUGGGUAGGGGAGCGUUGUGUAAGCGGAUGAAGGUGGCUCGAGAGGGUUGCUGGACGUAUCACAAGUGCGAAUGCUGACAUAAGUAACGAUAAAACGAGUGAAAAACUCGUUCGCCGGAAGACCAAGGGUUCCUGUCCAACGUUAAUCGGGGCAGGGUGAGUCGGCCCCUAAGGCGAGGCUGAAAAGCGUAGUCGAUGGGAAACGGGUUAAUAUUCCCGUACUUGGAUAAACUGCGAUGUGGGGACGGAGAAGGUUAGGUUAGCAGACUGUUGGAUGUCUGUUUAAGGUGGUAGGUGGAAGACUUAGGCAAAUCCGGGUCUUUAUAAACACUGAGAGCUGAUGACGAGGUCUUAAGGGACUGAAGUAACUGAUACCCUGCUUCCAGGAAAAGCCACUAAGCUUCAGGUUUAUCUAAACCGUACUGAAAACCGACACAGGUGGUCAGGUAGAGAAUACUCAGGCGCUUGAGAGAACUCGGGUGAAGGAACUAGGCAAAAUAGCACCGUAACUUCGGGAGAAGGUGCGCUUACAGUAAUUGUAGUCCCUUGCGGAUGAAGGUGAAGUAAGUCGAAGAUACCAGCUGGCUGCAACUGUUUAUUAAAAACACAGCACUCUGCAAACACGAAAGUGGACGUAUAGGGUGUGAUGCCUGCCCGGUGCUGGAAGGUUAAUUGAUGGUGUUAUCGAAAGAGAAGCUCCUGAUCGAAGCCCCAGUAAACGGCGGCCGUAACUAUAACGGUCCUAAGGUAGCGAAAUUCCUUGUCGGGUAAGUUCCGACCUGCACGAAUGGCAUAAUGAUGGCCAGGCUGUCUCCACCCGAGACUCAGUGA
rnacentral:rRNA from 1 species